rnacentral:rRNA from 1 species
CUACGGGGGGCAGCAGUCGAGAAUCUUUUGCAAUGCGCGAAAGCGUGACAAUGCGACGCCGCGUGAGCGAUGAAGCCCUUCGGGGUGUAAAGCUCUGUCAGUCCGGAUGAAUAUUCGUUUUCUAAUACAGAACGGAGAUGACAGUACGGGCAGAGGAAGCCACGGCUAACUCCGUGCCAGCAGCCGCGGUAAUACGGAGGUGGCAAGCGUUGUUCGGAUUCAUUGGGUGUAAAGGGUAUGUAGGUGUCCUGAUCAGUCGGAUGUGAAAUCCCUUGGCUUAACCAAGGAACUGCGUCCGAUACUGUCAGGAUUGAGCGCGGAAGAGGAGAGUGGAAUUCCCGGUGUAAGGGUGAAAUCUGUAGAUAUCGGGAGGAACACCAGUGGCGAAAGCGGCUCUCUGGUCCGAUGCUGACACUGAAAUACGAAAGCAAGGGGAGCAAACAGGAUUAGAUACCCGUGUAGUC